rnacentral:rRNA from 1 species
CCUACGGGAGGCAGCAGUGAGGAAUAUUGGUCAAUGGGCGCGAGCCUGAACCAGCCAAGUCGCGUGAGGGAAGAAGGUCCUAUGGAUUGUAAACCUCUUUUGUCGGGGAGCAAAAGAUGCCACGCGUCGCGUUCCGAGAGUACCCGAAGAAAAAGCAUCGGCUAACUCCGUGCCAGCAGCCGCGGUAAUACGGAGGAUGCGAGCGUUAUCCGGAUUUAUUGGGUUUAAAGGGUGCGCAGGCGGAAGAUCAAGUCAGCGGUAAAAUUGAGAGGCUCAACCUCUGCGAGCCGUUGAAACUGGUUUUCUUGAGUGAGCGAGAGGUAUGCGGAAUGCGUGGUGUAGCGGUGAAAUGCGUAGAUAUCACGCAGAACUCCAGUGGCGAAGGCGGCAUACCGGCGCUCAACUGACGCUGAUGCACGAAAGUGUGGGGAGCGAACAGGAUUAGAUACCCGAGUAGUC